ACCGAGGUACAGUGAAAAGGUUUUGUUGCAGAACGAGCUAUCCUGACCACGGAAAGACAACGCCUGAUCACAAUCGAGCCGUCGACAGUGUGCUGAUACAUGAUAAAGUUGGAUAACGUUUAGUGCAAGAUAAAGUCCAGUAAACGCCGACCGAACAUAGUCCGAGGGUCUCCAAUGAGGCAGAUCGUAGCUCAGGACCUCUCUAGUUGUGGGUAGGAUGGUUCAGUUGCCUGAUAACAGCUGGG